GAUGAACGCUGGCGGCGUGCUUAACACAUGCAAGUCGAACGAAGCACUUAUCUUUGAUUCUUCGGAUGAAGAGGUUUGUGACUGAGUGGCGGACGGGUGAGUAACGCGUGGGUAACCUGCCUCAUACAGGGGGAUAACAGUUAGAAAUGACUGCUAAUACCGCAUAAGACCACAGAGCCGCAUGGCUCAGUGGGAAAAACUCCGGUGGUAUGAGAUGGACCCGCGUCUGAUUAGGUAGUUGGUGGGGUAACGGCCUACCAAGCCAACGAUCAGUAGCCGACCUGAGAGGGUGACCGGCCACAUUGGGACUGAGACACGGCCCAAACUCCUACGGGAGGCAGCAGUGGGGAAUAUUGCACAAUGGGGGAAACCCUGAUGCAGCGACGCCGCGUGAGCGAAGAAGUAUUUCGGUAUGUAAAGCUCUAUCAGCAGGGAAGAAAAUGACGGU
rnacentral:rRNA from 1 species